GACGGAAGGUGCAAGCGUUGCUCGGAAUCACUGGGCGUAAAGGGUGCGUAGGCGGCCGUGCAAGUCUGGCGUGAAAGCCCCGGGCUCAGCCCGGGAAGUGCGCUCGAAACUGCGCGGCUCGAGUGCCGGAGGGGAGAGUGGAAUUCCUGGUGUAGCGGUGAAAUGCGUAGAUAUCAGGAGGAACACCGGUGGCGAAGGCGGCUAUCUGGACAGAGUCUGACGCUGAGGCGCGAAAGCUAGGGGAGCAAACAGG
rnacentral:rRNA from 1 species